UACAGAGGGUGCAAGCGUUAAUCGGAAUUACUGGGCGUAAAGGGCGCGUAGGCGGUCUGACAAGUGAGAUGUGAAAUCCCCGAGCUUAACUUGGGAACUGCAUCUUAAACUGUUGGGCUGGAGUACUGUAGAGGAUAGUGGAAUUUCCGGUGUAGCGGUGAAAUGCGUAGAGAUCGGAAGGAACACCAGUGGCGAAGGCGACUGUCUGGACAGAUACUGACGCUGAGGCGCGAAAGCGUGGGGAGCAAACAGG
rnacentral:rRNA from 1 species